ensembl:lncRNA
AAAAAGAGCUGACUGCAAAGAAUGUGCAGUUCAUGUGCACUGAUGUUAUAUGCAAGUACUGGCCAUACCUGCAGAGAAUUGUUAAAGAUUGUCCAGAGCUCUCUCCUCUCCUGGACAUGAAGCCUUUCCUGUCAGUGAUGCAUGCAAAGGCCCACUCUUGGAAAUGUGAGAUUAAAUGGGGUGGUCGAAACCAAGAAGGAGCAGGCACCACCCUGGGGGAAGAGGUCGAACAAGUUAACAGCUUUUUUGUCGAGAACUGCUAUAUGCAGUAAAUACAUGACCAAAGGAGGCAAAACAGACAUGAUUACAAUCCAGGCCAUGGCAUGGAAUCAGCGCAAAAUACGGAAACUUGCAAAAGCGCUGUCCCUAAGAUUUAAAAAGAUGGGAACAAGAGAAGACACAAACUCCGAAGAAAGAUUUUGGAAGAAAAA